GAGGAACACUUCAUCUGCAGCUGUAAACUCAGACCUGGUCCCUCUGAAGGCGAGCAUUCAUCUGGAGCACAUUUAUUAUGGCACCAGGCCCCCCCUCGCCCCCGUCCCCUUGUAGGUGUCAGGACAGCAUUGUGCUCAUUGGUGGGUCUCUGUGGUUGUAAUGUCAGGGCUGUACUUUCAAAUGGAAAUCAGGCAAUUACGCUCCACAUGGAGAAACCUGACAGAGGCAGAGGUUUGACACCACUGGCGGUGUCACAGGGACAAAGGCAGCCAGCGCUCCCAGGGGAUGGUUAAAUAAAUAGAGUAUGUUUCAAGAGCUCAGAGAAAUCCAGGAAUAAUUAACUGCGUGAUGAGAGUUCAUAGAUCCUGUGGCUGUUUAACUUCAAAAUGUGAUAAUGAUAUGUCAACGAACUGCUUAACUCAUCCUUGAAAAAGCAAAAAAGAGGCAUCGGAAAACCCAUCGGUGUGCAAAGAGGUGGGCGCCACUCUGCGCGUGCUUUCCCGUUUCCCACUGCAAAGCGUCUUUUUCAAACGCAGGGCAUUUUCUCCUGUUUCGCUUCCCCCAUACAGAGGGCUCCAGAAGAGGGGUUGGUCACAGCCUGGUGCCCACUGCGGAGCAGCUUCUGGUCAUUCUGUGUUGAACACAGAGGCGCUCAGCUGGCAACUCGGGUGGUGAUAUUACCGUGGCUGCCACUGGUCCAGUAUCUAUGUGCCAGGCGCCAGCCACAGGCUCUAGCCUCGUAAGUGCCGUGACUACCCACACUUUACAGAUGCGAAAAUGAGCACAGAGGUUAAGUGGAAAAACUGGGCUUCAGGUCUGGCCCCCACCCAACUCUGGGCUUAGUGCUCAGCCGCUAGGUUGUACCCUCCUACUGUUUCAACAGGGAGAUACUCAAAGCACCCUUAGAAAGCACCUACGUCAGAUGCAUAGGGUUAGAGUGGACAGGAGAAACGUGAAAUAAAGGCUUAGGACUGAAUUCCGCCCCCCGCCCUGCCGCCAAUACCCAGUUGUUUAAUCAAAUGGUUCAUUUGGCGCCUGAAACACGCAAGGUUUACUUGAUGUGUCCCAAACUGGAUUGAAAUCCAUCUAUACCACCAAAAAGCGCUCCCAAAUCCUGGCCGUUGCUCUUCUCUCUCAUGGAAGAGGACCCCAGAGCAGGCUUUGGUCCAUAACUCUGGACAUCACUCCCUUGGACUAGACAAAAGCUGGUUCCACUUGGAACUGAGAAAAAGAGAAGAGAUUUUUCUUAGAAAAUUUCAGCAAAUGAUCAUAGGUCUAUGUAGGCAUCACUAAUGCGGUCUCAAAAACUGCUCAUGUGUAGGGUCCCUGAGGCCCCCCUCCCGCAGAGAAUACCCCAACCAAAGCAGGGCCGAGGAAAACAUCCACCAGCAGCUUGGCAAGCGGAGCCCUGUCCCAUCACGACUCGUUUGAUCUUAUUCAAGGGCCGGAAACCUUCAGGAGAGUCAAAAGCUUUUAGAGCAUCAGCUUUGUCUUAUGUUAGGAAAAAAAAGUUUCUGCACAUGGAAAAAUUAUUUGGACUUUUUCCCAUCUCUAUUGAACCCGUUCCGUUUCAAAGUGUUAAAUUUGUAUUGAAGCAAAGUGUUAUUCAUGUUUCUUCAAUAAAAACCUGAGUUAAGGAGUUCCUGUCGUGGCACAGUGCGGUUAGCGAACCUGACCAGCAUCCAUGAGAACACGGGUUUGAUCCCUGGCCUUGCUCAGCAGGUUAGGGAUCCGGCAUUGCCGUGAGCUGUGGUGUAGGUCACAGACGCUGCUUGGAUCUGGCGUGGCUGUGGCUGUGGCGCAGGCUGGUGGCUACAGCUCCGAUUGGAUCCCUUGCCUGGGAACC
ensembl:lncRNA